rnacentral:rRNA from 1 species
UACGUAGGGGUCGAGCGUUGUCCGGAGUUACUGGGCGUAAAGCGUGUGCAGGCGGCUCAUUGCGCCCGGCGUGAAAGCCCCCGGCUCAACCGGGGAGAGUCGUCGGGGACGGGUGAGCUUGAGGGUAUCAGGGGCUGGUGGAAUUCCCGGUGUAGUGGUGAAAUGCGUAGAUAUCGGGAGGAACACCCGUGGCGAAGGCGGCCAGCUGGGAUACACCUGACGCUGAGACACGAAGGCGUGGGGAGCGAACGGG